AUUUUUUAUGAGAUUAGUUCAAAAAUUUACUUUGUGAUUGUUGAUUACAUUGGUUGGUAUUGAUUGGUGUUAAUUUUCUAAGAAUCUAUCGAAAUUGUUGAGAAUUAUGUAGUGUGUUAACAAUUUGAGUAAUGCUUUUCAAUCAAAUUACACUACCACCUGUUGAUCUGCAGAGCCACCACCUAAUUACUUUCAACAAUGGCAUGAGAGAGAGAGAAAGCAGAGUGCAGAGGAGAAAAUUCCCCCGAUCACUCUCUCUCCGGAAGCAUCGUCUCCAAUCAAGUUUGCUCUGAGUUUGUUCUGUUGUUUUCAAUCAGAGACUUAUGAUUCGAUCUUCAGGAUUAAGGCACAGUUUACCCGAUAGAAAUUGAGAAAACUUCAUUAUUGUUACUUUUCAAUGCAAAUUUCAGUUUUUUUCCUUCAUUCUCAGUUUUGAAUUGAGAAACAAUGUUCAAUUUCAUUCUGGUUACCAUGCAUGUGCUUCUCCAAAGAUGGAUCCAGAUGCAAUCAAAUCCAUUCUCCAAAACAUAGCAUUUGGAAAUGUAAUGGCCACCACUGCCUGCAAUUACCAGAAGGAAAUUCUUGCCGAAGGAAAAGCUCCGGCGACCAGGAGGUCGACCUUGACAUAAAGGAUGAUCCUGAGCUGGAAAAAUUGCAUGCUGAUAGAAUUGCAGCCCUGAAGGUCACUGAUAACUUCCUUCAUGAGGUCACUAGCAAUCUGGAAACUCUCAUAUUUUGCUCCCAGACUUUUAUAAGCAAGAAUUUCGUACUUGGAGGAAAUGGGGGAAUUUCAAAGGUAAAGGGGAGCUUCUGGUCUUGAUUUCGAUUGAGUUUUUAAAGGGAUGAUGAGGAACUAAGGAGGACUGCAGGAAGCAGCAGGUCCUUGAGACUAUGGUCUCGGCAGAAGUGGUACAAGGGAACCGACAGAAACGAAGAUGGGUAUUCCUAAUCCAGUUGUGAUCAAGCAGUUUCAAUUGAUAAUGGAGGAAGUUGAUAAGCUGCUGAAGAACACAUUUGAGGUUAGACCCUAUUUCUCUUUCAAGUUUGCUCGAUCUGGGCUCUUAAAGUUUUGAACUUUUAUGAUUUGCAGCACCAGAUAAUGAAACCCUUUACUCUAUUCACAGUUUAAUCAUUUAGCUUUACUUUUCUUUCAAAAAUUACAUAAUGUUGAAUCUUAAAUCAGUUUUGUGGACUUGAUCUGGGUCUCUGAUCUUAAACCAGAUGUUGAAUCUUAAAUCAGUUUUGUGGACUUGAUCUGGGUCUCUGAUCUUAAACCAGCACUCUUUAAAGAUAAUCUCUAAACAGU